rnacentral:rRNA from 1 species
UACGUAGGUGACCAGCGUUGUCCGGAUUUACUGGGCGUAAAGAGCGCGCAGGCGGUCGUUCAAGUCGAGUGUGAAAGCCCCCGGCUCAACUGGGGAGGGUCAUUCGAUACUGAUCGACUUGAAGGCAGGAGAGGGAAGUGGAAUUCCCGGUGUAGUGGUGAAAUGCGUAGAUAUCGGGAGGAACACCAGUGGCGAAGGCGACUUCCUGGCCUGUUCUUGACGCUGAGGCGCGAAAGCCAGGGGAGCGAACGGG